ACGAACGCUGGCGGCACGCUUAACACAUGCAAGUCGAACGAGAGAAGAGAAGCUUGCUUUUCUGAUCUAGUGGCGGACGGGUGAGUAACACGUGAGCAAUCUGCCUUUCAGAGGGGGAUACCGAUUGGAAACGAUCGUUAAUACCGCAUAACAUAAUUGAACCGCAUGAUUUGAUUAUCAAAGAUUUAUCGCUGAAAGAUGAGCUCGCGUCUGAUUAGCUAGUUGGUAAGGUAACGGCUUACCAAGGCGACGAUCAGUAGCCGGACUGAGAGGUUGAUCGGCCACAUUGGGACUGAGACACGGCCCAGACUCCUACGGGAGGCAGCAGUGGGGAAUAUUGCACAAUGGAGGAAACUCUGAUGCAGCGAUGCCGCGUGAGGGAAGAAGGUUUUAGGAUUGUAAACCUCUGUCUUUGGGGACGAAAAAUGACGGUACCCAAGGAGGAAGCUCCGGCUAACUACGUGCCAGCAGCCGCGGUAAUACGUAGGGAGCGAGCGUUGUCCGGAAUUACUGGGUGUAAAGGGAGCGUAGGCGGGAUCGCAAGUCAGAUGUGAAAACUAUGGGCUUAACCCAUAAACUGCAUUUGAAACUGUGGUUCUUGAGUGAAGUAGAGGUAAGCGGAAUUCCUAGUGUAGCGGUGAAAUGCGUAGAUAUUAGGAGGAACAUCAGUGGCGAAGGCGGCUUACUGGGCUUUAACUGACGCUGAGGCUCGAAAGCGUGGGGAGCAAACAGGAUUAGAUACCCUGGUAGUCCACGCCGUAAACGAUGAUUACUAGGUGUGGGGGGACUGACCCCUUCCGUGCCGCAGCAAACGCAAUAAGUAAUCCACCUGGGGAGUACGACCGCAAGGUUGAAACUCAAAGGAAUUGACGGGGGCCCGCACAAGCAGUGGAGUAUGUGGAUUAAUUCGAAGCAACGCGAAGAACCUUACCAGGUCUUGACAUCGUAUGCAUAGCUCAGAGAUGAGUGAAAUCUCUUCGGAGACAUAUAGACAGGUGGUGCAUGGUUGUCGUCAGCUCGUGUCGUGAGAUGUUGGGUUAAGUCCCGCAACGAGCGCAACCCUUACUGUUAGUUGCUACGCAAGAGCACUCUAGCAGGACUGCCGUUGACAAAACGGAGGAAGGUGGGGAUGACGUCAAAUCAUCAUGCCCCUUAUGAUUUGGGCUACACACGUGCUACGAUGGCGUAAACAAAGGGAAGCAAGACAGUGAUGUGGAGCAAAUCCCAAAAAUAACGUCCCAGUUCGGACUGUAGUCUGCAACCCGACUACACGAAGCUGGAAUCGCUAGUAAUCGCAGAUCAGAAUGCUGCGGUGAAUACGUUCCCGGGCCUUGUACACACCGCCCGUCACGCCAUGGGAGUCGGUAACACCCGAAGCCUGUAGUCUAACCGCAAGGAGGACGCAGUCGAAGGUGGGAUUGAUGACUGGGGUG
rnacentral:rRNA from 1 species